rnacentral:tRNA from 1 species
GGGGUUGUGGCUCAGUGGUAGAGCGCUCACCUAGCAUGUGUGAGGCACUGUGUUCAAUUCUCAGCACCACA